CAAGUUAUAGCAUAUACAAUGCCCUUUAUUUACACUAAAAAGAAAAUUCAUAUUUAACUUGA
rnacentral:tRNA from 1 species